rnacentral:rRNA from 1 species
AUUGAACGCUGGCGGCAGGCCUAACACAUGCAAGUCGAGCGGAUGAAGGGAGCUUGCUCCUGGAUUCAGCGGCGGACGGGUGAGUAAUGCCUAGGAAUCUGCCUGGUAGUGGGGGAUAACGUCCGGAAACGGGCGCUAAUACCGCAUACGUCCUGAGGGAGAAAGUGGGGGAUCUUCGGACCUCACGCUAUCAGAUGAGCCUAGGUCGGAUUAGCUAGUUGGUGGGGUAAAGGCCUACCAAGGCGACGAUCCGUAACUGGUCUGAGAGGAUGAUCAGUCACACCGGAACUGAGACACGGUCCAGACUCCUACGGGAGGCAGCAGUGGAGAAUAUUGGACAAUGGGCGAAAGCCUGAUCCAGCCAUGCCGCGUGUGUGAAGAAGGUCUUCGGAUUGUAAAGCACUUUAAGUUGGGAGGAAGGGCAGUAAGUUAAUACCUUGCUGUUUUGACGUUACCAACAGAAUAAGCACCGGCUAACUUCGUG